rnacentral:rRNA from 1 species
GACGAACGCUGGCGGCGUGCUUAACACAUGCCAGUCGAACGGAAAGGCCCUGCUUUUUUCGGGUGCCCGAGUGGCGAACGGGUGAGUAACACGUGAGUAACCUGCCCGUGACUUUGGGAUAACUUCAGGAAACUGGGGCUAAUACCUGAUAGGAGCUCCUGCUGCAUGGUGGGGGUUGGAAAGGUUCGGCGGUUGGGGCUGGACUCGCGGCUCAUCAGCUUGUUGGUGCGGUAGUGGAUUACGAAGGCGUUGAAGGGUAGCCGGCCUGAGAGGGUGACCGGCCACAUUGGGACUGGGAUGCGGCCCAGAGUCCUACGGGAGGCAGCAGUGGAGAAUAGUGCAAAAUGGGCGGAAGCAUGAUGCAGCAACGCCGCGUGGGGGAUGACGGCCUUCGGGUUGUAAACCGCUUUCGCCUGUGACGAAGAGUGAGUGACGGUAAUGGGUAAAGAAGCACCGGCUAACUACGUG